UGUAUUUAUUAGAUAAAAAACCAAUGCCCUUCGGGGCUUUUUGGUGAUUCAUGAUAACUUUACGGAUCGCAUAGCCUUGCGCUGGCGACGGUUCAUUCAAAUUUCUGCCCUAUCAACUUUCGAUGGUAAGGUAUUGGCUUACCGUGGUUUCAACGGGUAACGGGGAAUUAGGGUUCGAUUCCGGAGAGGGAGCCUGAGAAACGGCUACCACAUCCAAGGAAGGCAGCAGGCGCGCAAAUUACCCAAUCCCGACACGGGGAGGUAGUGACAAUAAAUACUGAUACAGGGCUCUUUUGGGUCUUGUAAUUGGAAUGAGUACAAUUUAAACCUCUUAACGAGGAACAAUUGGAGGGCAAGUCUGGUGCCAGCAGCCGCGGUAAUUCCAGCUCCAAUAGCGUAUAUUAAAGUUGUUGCAGUUAAAAAGCUCGUAGUUGAAACUUGGGCCUGGCUGGCGGGUCCGCCUCACCGCGUGCACUCGUCCGGCCGGGCCUUCCUUCUGAAGAACCUCAUGCCCUUCACUGGGCGUGCUGGGGAACCAGG
rnacentral:rRNA from 1 species